rnacentral:rRNA from 1 species
UGGUUAUACCGUCACGUAUGAACAGUUACUCUCAUACGUGUUCUUCUUUAACAACAGAGCUUUACGAGCCGAAAGCCUUCUUCACUCACGCGGUGUUGCUGCAUCAGGCUUGCGCCCAUUGUGGAAGAUUCCCUACUGCUGCCUCCCGUAGGAGUAAGGGAAUUUCACAAUGGGCGCAGCCUGAUGGAUCAACCCCCUUAGUGACCAUGGUUUGGCUCUAAAAUCUUCGUCAAAAAACAUCAUAAUACACUACCGUCUUAAACUUAGGUUUUUAACUACGCCCCCUCCCCCCUUUUUCCCGUGAUUUCUUUUUCUUUUUCUCCCCGCCCGCGUUCACCCCCUCACCUUCCAUUCUACCCUUUUACCUUUUUCUUUUCCUC